rnacentral:rRNA from 1 species
GCUCGAGUGGCGAACGGGUGAGUAACACGUGAGUAACCUGCCCUUGACUUUGGGAUAACUUCAGGAAACUGGGGCUAAUACCGGAUAGGAGCUCCUGCUGCAUGGUGGGGGUUGGAAAGUUUCGGCGGUUGGGGAUGGACUCGCGGCUUAUCAGCUUGUUGGUGGGGUAAUGGCCUACCAAGGCGGCGACGGGUAGCCGGCCUGAGAGGGUGUACGGCCACACUGGGACUGAGAUACGGCCCAG